UACGUAGGGUGCGAGCGUUGUCCGGAAUUACUGGGCGUAAAGAGUUCGUAGGCGGUUUGUCGCGUCGUUCGUGAAAACUUGGGGCUUAACUCCAAGCGUGCGGGCGAUACGGGCAGACUUGAGUACUACAGGGGAGACUGGAAUUCCUGGUGUAGCGGUGAAAUGCGCAGAUAUCAGGAGGAACACCGGUAGCGAAGGCGGGUCUCUGGGUAGUAACUGACGCUGAGGAACGAAAGCGUGGGUAGCGAACAGG
rnacentral:rRNA from 1 species